GACGAACCACACAAACGUUAUUCGGAAUUACUGGGCUUAAAGGGUGCGUAGGCGGCGCGGCAAGUUGGGUGUGAAAUCCCUCGGCUCAACCGAGGAACUGCGCCCAAAACUACCGUGCUCGAGGGAGAUAGAGGUGAGCGGAACUUAGGGUGGAGCGGUGAAAUGCGUUGAUAUCCUAAGGAACACCCGUGGCGAAAGCGGCUCACUGGGUCUUCUCUGACGCUGAGGCACGAAAGCUAGGGUAGCGAACGGG
rnacentral:rRNA from 1 species